rnacentral:rRNA from 1 species
AUACGUAGGUGGCAAGCGUUGUCCGGAAUUAUUGGGCGUAAAGCGCGCGCAGGCGGUCCUUUAAGUCUGAUGUGAAAGCCCACGGCUCAACCGUGGAGGGUCAUUGGAAACUGGGGGACUUGAGUGCAGAAGAGGAAAGUGGAAUUCCAAGUGUAGCGGUGAAAUGCGUAGAGAUUUGGAGGAACACCAGUGGCGAAGGCGACGUGCUGGGCUGUAACUGACGCUGAGGCGAGAAAGCGUGGGGAGCAAACAGGAUGAGAUACCCUGGUAGUCCACGCCGUAAACGAUGAGUGCUAAGUGUUAGGGGGUUUCCGCCCCUUAGUGCUGCAGCUAACGCAUUAAGCACUCCGCCUGGGGAGUACGGUCGCAAGACUGAAACUCAAAUGAAUUGACGGG